rnacentral:rRNA from 1 species
UACGGAGGUGGCUAGCGUUGUUCGGAAUUACUGGGCGUAAAGCGCGCGUAGGCGGACCUGCAAGUCGGGGGUGAAAGCCCGAGGCUCAACCUCGGAACUGCCUUCGAUACUGCGGGUCUCGAGUCCGGGAGAGGUGAGUGGAAUUCCUAGUGUAGCGGUGAAAUGCGUAGAUAUCUGGAGGAACACCGGUGGCGAAGGCGGCAUCCCGGACCAACACUGACGCUGAGUGAGCGAAAGCCAGGGGAGCAAACGGG